CAGUCGCCGCGGGAACACGUAGGUGGCAAGCGUUGUCCGGAAUUAUUGGGCGUAAAGGGCUCGCAGGCGGUUUCUUAAGUCUGAUGUGAAAGCCCCCGGCUCAACCGGGGAGGGUCAUUGAAAACUGGGAAACUUGAGUGCAGAAGAGGAGAGUGGAAUUCCACGUGUAGCGGUGAAAUGCGUAGAGAUGUGGAGGAACACCAGUGGCGAAGGCGACUCUCUGGUCUGUAACUGACGCUGAGGAGCGAAAGCGUGGGGAGCGAACAGGAUUAGAUACCCCCGUAGUCCCUGUCUCUUAUAC
rnacentral:rRNA from 1 species